rnacentral:tRNA from 1 species
UGGGAAAUAACUUAGUGGUUGAUAGUGUUGGUCUCUCAAGCCAGCUGUCAUAGAUUCAAAUUCCGUUUCCCAG